rnacentral:lncRNA from 1 species
ACAGAGUAAGACGGCCGCCCAUAGGGGCCUCACUCAAAUAGUCAAGGUCAGAUCAAGAUUUUGAAUGUUGUUAGCGCCACCUAGGCCCUGCUUACGAGGCAACUUACUCAUAAAUGAACGGAACAUCCCCGAGGGGGCGCCAUGCGACGUUUACAGCAUGGAUGCUGAAAAUUGUUGUGUGCCUAUCAGUGCGAUGAUAUUUGUUCUAAACGGUGUUCAUUUCCUAGAAGACUCGUAUGUCUUGUUUUCAAGAUUACUACAUACAUUAUUCGCUCUACAUACUA